rnacentral:rRNA from 1 species
ACCGGGAUUGCCUUAGUAACGGCGAGUGAAGCGGCAAAAGCUCAAAUUUGAAAUCUGGUACCUUUGGUGCCCGAGUUGUAAUUUGGAGAGGGCAACUUUGGGACCGUUCCUUGUCUAUGUUCCUUGGAACAGGACGUCAUAGAGGGUGAGAAUCCCGUGUGGCGAGGAGUGCGGUUCUAUGUAAAGUGCCUUCGAAGAGUCGAGUUGUUUGGGAAUGCAGCUCUAAGUGGGUGGUAAAUUCCAUCUAAAGCUAAAUAUUGGCGAGAGACCGAUAGCGAACAAGUACAGUGAUGGAAAGAUGAAAAGAACUUUGAAAAGAGAGUGAAAAAGUACGUGAAAUUGUUGAAAGGGAAGGGCAUUUGAUCAGACAUGGUGUUUUGCGCCCUCUGCUCCUUGUGGGUGGGGGAAUCUCGCAGUUCACUGGGCCAGCAUCAGUUUUGGUGGCAGGAUAAAUCCGUAGGAAUGUAACUUGCUUCGGGAAGUAUUAUAGCCUAUGGGAAUACUGCCAACUGGGACUGAGGACUGCGACGUAAGUCAAGG